rnacentral:tRNA from 1 species
GCGGGCGUGGCGAAAUUGGUAGACGCACCAGAUUUAGGUUCUGGCGCCGAGAGGUGUGAGAGUUCGAGUCUCUCCGUCCGCACCA